GUUACAUUUCCAUGUAACCGUAGCCAGUGCCUAAACGGCAUAAAGUAAAGAGUGCACGGGAAAUGACAAAGUUCACGAAGUCUAGUCUGCUUAAUCAUUUUACAAACAAAAAAAUCCGAGCAAAAAGGGGGAGGCGUACGCCCUUUACGCCCAUCUGAAUCCGCCACUGUUCAAACUUAUAAAAAGUGCAUGAUGCCGUACCCCAUACUGACCCCCACUCCACUCUGGAAGUGCUACUCACAUAGAGUUAUCUCCCAUUAGUUCAUCAAAUGGCACUUUGGAUAUAUGGCAGACAAAAACAGAGCCGACACAACACCAACAGAACUUUGGAUAAACAAGGCACGAAAAGAAAUUUAUACAGAGAGAGCUUGCUAGUACUGGCUGAUUUUAGUAUUUGCAGUUGACAUAUUGAACCAGACUAAGAUUGUUCAUGAUGUAGUACCACAAGGGUUCCAGAGUUUUGUUUAUACAGGACAUUUGUACCUCAUACAAGUAUGUUGAGAGAAGUUCAGAACAAGCUAUUAUGUUUGAAGAGGAGUUGUCAGCACGUCAUCAUUGAAUAAAGUCAGUUGUAUUAGAAGUGAAGCCUAAACAGAAAUGAGACAAUUAUUGAAUAAUUCAAAGACUACAUGUAUGUUAUCUGGACUAACAUUUGUAUGACCCAAAUGUGGUAUUUUUCAUAUGAAGACUUACAAGGCAGGCUGUGGCAACAUGUGUAUGCAUUUAACAUGUUUAAAGACUUGAAGAACUUGUACUGCCUUCUUCAGAUUUCAGUAGAUUUUGUUUAAGACAGUAAAUUCUGAGUAUGAAUUGAAGAAUUUUUGCUCAUUUAAAUGAAUUAUGAAAAUGUUAUACAUCUUAAAUAUACAAAAACAACA